rnacentral:rRNA from 1 species
GACGGGGCCCGCACAAGCGGUGGAGUAUGUGGUUUAAUUCGAUGCAACGCGAAGAACCUUACCUGGCCUUGACAUCCCGGGAAUUUCCUGGAAACAGGAGAGUGCUUUCAUUAGAGAGAACCUGGAGACAGGUGCUGCAUGGCUGUCGUCAGCUCGUGUCGUGAGAUGUUGGGUUAAGUCCCGCAACGAGCGCAACCCUUGCCUUUAGUUGCCAGCAGUUCGGCUGGGCACUCUAAAGGGACUGCCGGUGUCAAACCGGAGGAAGUGGGGAUGACGUCAAGUCCUCAUGGCCUUUAUGGCCAGGGCUACACACGUACUACAAUGGCCGGUACAAAGGGCAGCGACAUUGCGAGAUGGAGCGAAUCCCGAAAAGCCGGUCUCAGUCCGGAUUGGAGUCUGCAACUCGACUCCAUGAAGUUGGAAUCGCUAGUAAUCGUGGAUCAGCAUGCCACGGUCGAAUACGUUCCGGCCUU